AAUUGCCGGAAAGCUGAAAUCAUCUCUUUUGUCGUGAAGUUUUGUUUUCAACCGACCCUCAUUGUCAAUUUCUAAAUGUAGGUCAAGAUAUGAGGCCGACUUAACUGUAUCUGUUGUAUCCUUUAUCUCAAAUUCGAUUGGAUAGAUGCAUUCAACAUAGCAUAUCCAAUUAUAGCCGUCAUCACGUGACUUUGGCGACGUCACACAUCAC
rnacentral:lncRNA from 1 species